CUUCGCUUGCUUCCUCCUCCCACCCUCGACCCUACAUUCUGCAUUAUAGUUACAGGCGGUGCUGGGGAUAUUUGCACCAAUAUUGAAAAUUCCUUUUAGAAACCUUCAAUUAAUUCCAACGGGGAGAUAGUCAACUGGAGAGACAGUCACAAGUAUCCAGAAAAAAAAUUCACUUCUUUCCUGGAAAACACAACCUCAGAGAUAAAGUCGCACAGAGCAGGAAUAUGUAUUAUGAGAAUAGCGUGCAAACAAUUGUGUUUUCUGUUUUUCAUUUAACCUCCUGUCAGAAGCAUGUCCCAUACAGCUAAAUCCUAAACCAAAUCAUCACGUUUACUAUCUCUGCUUUCAGUUACCAUGUCAACUGCGGCUGGGAAGCAGGUGGACGUCCUCUGACGACAACUCAGAUGGUCAACAGCAGCCUCACUCUAUGUCACAACACCUGCGUCACUCACCUCCCCCGGUCUCCUCUCCUGGGCAUGUUCUCUCACAUCACCUAAGAAGGGUGAGUACAGCACAAUGAGAUAUUUUGAGAGAGAGACCACAUUCACAUAACUUUUAUUACAAGCAUAUUGUGAUAAUUGUUCUAUUUUGUUAUUAGCUAUUGUUGUUCGUCUCUUACGAAUUUAUAAAUUCAACUUUAUCAUAGGUAUGUUUGUGUAGGAAAAAACGGUAUUUGUAGGUUUGGCACCAUCCCUGGUUCAGGCAUCCACUGGGGGUCUUGGAAUGUAUCUCCUGCUGAUAAGCGGUGGGGGGGUGGGGACCACUAUACCCA
rnacentral:lncRNA from 1 species